rnacentral:rRNA from 1 species
UACGUAGGUGGCAAGCGUUGUCCGGAUUUACUGGGCGUAAAGAGCGCGCAGGCGGUCGUUCAAGUCGCGUGUGAAAGCCCCCGGCUCAACUGGGGAGGGUCACGCGAUACUGAUCGACUCGAAGGCAGGAGAGGGUAGUGGAAUUCCCGGUGUAGCAGUGAAAUGCGUAGAGAUCGGGAGGAACAUCAGUUGCGAAGGCGGCUCUCUGGACCAGCACUGACACUGAGGCACGAAAGCGUGGGGAGCAAACAGG